rnacentral:lncRNA from 1 species
AGUUUCUGUCUUUUUGGCUCUGGCUCAUCAGGAAGUGGUGGAGGAGCUUCUUCAGGUGGUGGCGGCGGAGGAAUUCCUUGAGGCAAAGGUGGAGGUGGCUGCAUCAUGGGCAUAGAAGGUGGUGGGACAGGAAGUGGGGCAAAGGGUCGAGGAACUGAGACGGCAGUAAAUUGAGAACCUGGUGGAGGUGGCACAGGCAUAUUAACUGGGUUCAUGGACAUUGUUGGAGACAUUUGUGGCGGUCGAUUCAUCAUCAUGGGUUGUUGGCCAGGUGCCAUCUGCAUAGGAGGUGGUGCCUGACGCAUUGACUGCAUUACUGGAACACCAAUUGGACGAGGUUGAGGUAACGACAUAGGAAGCCCCCCACUAGAUGCGGCAGAAUAUUGGGGAGCAUUUGGAGGAACACGAGGGAGAUUUAAAGCUAGUCCAGGAGGUGGGGGGAGGGGUCGAACUGAUGGGACACCAGGUCGAGGAGGAGGAGCAGCAGGACCAGGAAGGUUCUGUGAAAUGCUGUUAGCAGCAUCAUUUGGAUCUUCUCCCAUGAUGGUUUGAGACAUAGCCUGGUUUGCGGUACGUCCA